rnacentral:rRNA from 1 species
UGGGGAAUCUUGCGCAAUGGGGGAAACCUUGACGCAGCAACGCCGCGUGGGUGAUGAAGGCCUUCGGGUCGUAAAGCCCUGUCAGGUGGGAAGAAACAUGUCGGUGCUAAUAUCACCGAUGUUUGACGGUACCGCCGGAGGAAGCACCGGCUAACUCCGUGCCAGCAGCCGCGGUAAUACGGAGGGUGCAAGCGUUGUUCGGAUUUACUGGGCGUAAAGGGAGCGUAGGCGGUUCCUUAAGUCAGAUGUGAAAUCUUCUGGCUCAAUCAGAUGGUGUCAUUUGAUACUGAGGAGCUUGAGAGCAGCAGAGGGAAAUGGAAUUUCCGGUGUAGCGGUGAAAUGCGUAGAUAUCGGGAAGAACACCAGUGGCGAAGGCGAUUUCCCAGGUUGUUUCUGACGCUGAGGCUCGAAAGCGUGGGCAGCGAAGCGGAUUAGAUACCCGCGUAGUCCACGCCCUAAACGGUGGACACUAGAUAUAGGAGGUAUCGACCCUUUCUGUGUCGAAGCUAACGCUUUAAGUGUCCCGCCUGGGGAGUACGACCGCAAGGUUG